rnacentral:rRNA from 1 species
UACGUAGGGGGCUAGCGUUGUCCGGAAUCAUUGGGCGUAAAGCGCGUGUAGGCGGCCCGAUAAGUCCGCUGUGAAAGUCCAGGGCUCAACCCUGGGAUGCCGGUGGAUACUGUCGGGCUCGAGUCCGGAAGAGGCGAGUGGAAUUCCCGGUGUAGCGGUGAAAUGCGCAGAUAUCGGGAGGAACACCUAUGGCGAAGGCAGCUCGCUGGGACGUUACUGACGCUGAGACGCGAAAGCGUGGGAGCAAACAGG